UGCUCCUAAUUACCUCCCUUUGGACCGCCCGGCUGGCGUAGGGGAUCAGAGCCUGGCCUGCCUCAGCACCUCUCCGCCCGGGAAGGUUCUUCCUUCAGAAUGGCCCACUUAAAAUGCAGCCCCUCACAACCGCGCUCCAACUCAGUGACAGGUCUCAGGAGUUGGCCGGCUUUCCCGUAACCCUCUGACUUGCUUAGGGCGUCCUAGUGGUUAAACCCGGGAGCCCCCGCAGGUGCCUCCACGCUGUUUCCAAGAAGUAGAGCUCAACAUAGAUUUAUUUGGUAACCAUUGCAGGAAUUUCAAAAAAUAAGAACCAGAGGAAGAAGCCAGACCUGAGUGUGAAGCCCUCAAUGUUGCAUUUUGACAAAGAAGUUCAGUGGAGACGAGGCCACAGCUUCACCUUACCUCUCUGAGUAGGAGGAGGGAUUUCCUCAGAAACGAAGACUGUUGCCCACAUCAGUCUCCUUGAAUGAGCCCUUCAGACCGUCCGAAGAGGAAAUUCCUCACCCUCUGCUGGACUGGGGCAGAGUUCCAAAAGAAUAGCAAGGAGAGAUAAGAAAGCCUUCCUCAGUGAUCAAUGCAAA